rnacentral:rRNA from 1 species
CUUGGUCAUUUAGAGGAAGUAAAAGUCGUAACAAGGUUUCCGUAGGUGAACCUGCGGAAGGAUCAUUAACAAUGAUAUCCAAUCAACACUGUGAACUUUGCCUUAGGGUAAUACCUAAGGUACCAAAUAACGCUAUAAUUUAUAACAGAGUCAAUUACUUAAAAAAGUAAUAUAGACAACUUUUAGCAACGGAUCUCUUGGGUCUCGCAACGAUGAAGAACGCAGCGAAUUGCGAAAAGUAAUGUGAAUUGCAUAAUUCCGUGAAUCAUCAAAUCUUUGAACGCACAUUGCGCUUGCUGGAAUUCCGGCAAGCAUGCCUGUUUGAGUAUCAGUUUAACAAAUUAUCCAGUAAUGGGUAGAAUUGGGUCUUGUGGAGACACUGACCCUAAAUAUAUUGAUGCCUCUUAGAAGUGCAUACAGAGCCAGUCCUCCGGGAAUGUCUGUAACGCAUUCUAGGAAGGUUUAAAAAAAAAUCUGAACCUUUGAUCUCAAAUCAAGCAAGACUACCCGCUGAACUUAAGCAUAUCAAUAAGCGGAGGA